rnacentral:rRNA from 1 species
CACUCCUGCGGGAGGCAGCAGUGGGGAAUUUUGGACAAUGGGCGCAAGCCUGAUCCAGCCAUGCCGCGUGCGGGAAGAAGGCCUUCGGGUUGUAAACCGCUUUUGUCAGGGAAGAAAAGGUUCUGGCUAAUACCUGGGACUCAUGACGGUACCUGAAGAAUAAGCACCGGCUAACUACGUGCCAGCAGCCGCGGUAAUACGUAGGGUGCAAGCGUUAAUCGGAAUUACUGGGCGUAAAGCGUGCGCAGGCGGUUAUGCAAGACAGAGGUGAAAUCCCCGGGCUCAACCUGGGAACUGCCUUUGUGACUGCAUGGCUAGAGUACGGUAGAGGGGGAUGGAAUUCCGCGUGUAGCAGUGAAAUGCGUAGAUAUGCGGAGGAACACCGAUGGCGAAGGCAAUCCCCUGGACCUGUACUGACGCUCAUGCACGAAAGCGUGGGGAGCAAACAGGAUUAGAUACCCUUGUAGUCCCAUGAU